UGAGUGCGAGCUGCUACGGCAGCGAAGUGGGUGACGUCAAGCUUCCAAGAAAGGCCCUAGACCCGUUAAGGCAUGAUUGCCUGUACCCGAAACCGACACAGGUGGGGUGGUAGAGAAUACCGAGGGGCGCGAGGUAACUCCCUCUAAGGAACUCGGCAAAAUGGCCCCGUAACUUCGGGAGAAGGGGUGCCAGCGAGAGCUGGUCGCAGUGAAGAGGCCCAGGCGACUGUUUACCAAAAACACAGGUCUCCGCUAAGUCGCAAGACGAUGUAUGGGGGCUGACGCCUGCCCAGUGCCGGAAGGUUAAGGAAGCUGGUCAGCGCAAGCGAAGCUGGCGACUGAAGCCCCGGUGAACGGCGGCCGUAACUAUAACGGUCCUAAGGUAGCGAAAUUCCUUGUCGGGUAAGUUCCGACCCGCACGAAAGGCGUAACGAUCUGGGCGCUGUCUCGGAGAGAGGCUCGGCGAAAUAGAAUUGUCUGUGAAGAUGCGGACUACGUGCACCCGGACAGAAAGACCCUAUGAAGCUUUACUGUAGCUUGGUAUUGUGCUCGGGCUCGGAAUGCGCAGGAUAGGUGGGAGGCAUUGAUCCAUUGCUUGCGGGUGAUGGUGAGCCACUGGUGAGAUACCACUCUUUUCGAGCUUAAGUUCUAACGGCCACCCGUUAUCCGGGGGCCGGACAGUAUCAGGUGGGCAGUUUGACUGGGGCGGUCGCCUCCUAAAAGGUAACGGAGGCGCGCAAAGGUCUGCUCAGGCUGGUUGGAAAUCAGCCGACGAGUGUAAAAGCAGAAGCAGGCUUGACUGUGAGACCUACAAGUCGAACAGGGAGGAAACUCGGCUUUAGUGAUCCGACGGUUCUGCGUGGAAGGGCCGUCGCUCAACGGAUAAAAGUUACUCUAGGAUAACAGGCUGAUCUCCCCCAAGAGUUCACAUCGACGGGGAGGUUUGGCACCUCGAUGUCGGCUCAUCGCGACCUGGGGCUGAAGUCGGUCCCAAGGGUUGGGCUGUUCGCCCAUUAAAGCGGUACGCGAGCUGGGUUCAGAACGUCGUGAGACAGUUCGGUCCAUAUCCGGUGCACGCGCAGGAAUAUUGAGAGGAUUUCUCCCUAGUACGAGAGGACCGGGAGGAACGCACCUCUGGUGUGCCAGUUAUCGUGCCAACGGUAAACGCUGGGUAGCCAUGUGCGGAGAGGAUAACCGCUGAAAGCAUCUAAGUGGGAAGCCCACCUCAAGAUGAGUAUUCCCAUGGCGUUAAGCCAGUAAGGUCACGGGAAGAACACCCGUUGAUAGGCUCUAUGUGGAAGCGCAGUAAUGCGUGAAGCAGAGGAGUACUAAUAGACCGAGGGCUUGACCCC
rnacentral:rRNA from 1 species